UGGGGAAUUUUGGACAAUGAGCGAAAGCCUGAUCCAGCCAUGCCGCGUGAGUGAAGAAGGCCUUCGGGUUGUAAAGCUCUUUUAGUCGGAAAGAAAGAGUUGCAAUGAAUAAUUGUGAUUUAUGACGGUACCGACAGAAAAAGCACCGGCUAACUACGUGCCAGCAGCCGCGGUAAUACGUAGGGUGCGAGCGUUAAUCGGAAUUACUGGGCGUAAAGGGUGCGCAGGCGGUCUUGCAAGUCAGAUGUGAAAGCCCCGGGCUUAACCUGGGAAUUGCGUUUGAAACUACAAGGCUAGAGUGCAGCAGAGGGGAGUGGAAUUCCAUGUGUAGCAGUGAAAUGCGUAGAGAUGUGGAAGAACACCGAUGGCGAAGGCAGCUCCCUGGGUUGACACUGACGCUCAUGCACGAAAGCGUGGGGAGCAAACA
rnacentral:rRNA from 1 species